rnacentral:rRNA from 1 species
UGUGAGGAAUGUAUAGCGAUAGCUAAUUGCAUCGAAAAUAUGAUGCAAGAUCGAUUUAUUGAAUAAAAUUCUGGGUAGAAUUAUGAUUAUGACAUUGUCUACCCAUGUGUCUUGACCAAAUUACGUGCCAGCAGUCGCGGUAAUACGUAGAAGACUAGUGUUAUUCAUCUUUAAUAGGUUUAAAGGGUACCUAGACGGUAAAUCAAGCCCUAGACGGGACUAAUUUGCUAGAGUUACUUGUGAGGGGGUUUUAAAGUACUAAUGGUGUAGAGAUGAAAUUUUGUAAUACCAUUUUUCGAAAGGAAAGUAAUGGCACAGGUAUAGGCGAAAGCAUCCCCUUAUGUGAUAACUGACGUUGAAGGACGAAGGCUUUGAGUCGCGAACAGGAUUAGAUACCCUGGUAGUCAAAGCAGAAAAUAAUGAGUGUCAUAGAUUAGAUAUUAAAGUUUAUUCUAUAAAUGAAAGUGUAAGCACUCCACCUCAAGAGUAAUUUGGCAACAUUGGAACUGAAAUCAUUAGACCGUUUCUGAAACCAGUAGUGAAGUAUGUUGUUUAAUUUGAUAAUCCGCAAAAAACCUUACCACAAUUUGAAUAUUUAUAUCGUUGAUAUAAUUACAAGCGUUGCACGGCUGUCUUCAGUUAAUGUCGUGAGAUUUUGGUUAGAUCCAUUAAAUUAACGCAAGCCCUUACUUUAUUUUAAAAUAAAGUCGUUCCCCACUAGAUUGGAUAAGAUAACAGGGAUUAAGACAAGUCAUCAUGGCCUGAAUAUUGUGGGC